rnacentral:lncRNA from 1 species
UGUGGAUUUAAUAAACUAUUUUUAUAAUUUAAUUUAUUUUUUUUUUUGUAUUUAUACAAUUUAUAGUUUAAGUUUACACUAACUUUUUUUGUCAGUUUGAUUCUAAUACAUAUUCAUGAUUUCAUUAAUCAACCAUGACAUUCUGGUUAUUUGUGGUCUUUAAUAUUAGAAUAAUUAUUUCAAAAAUUGGUUGAAAGCCUGUCCAGGCUGAUUCUAAAAACUAUUGCAGAGCCAUAGUCCAUUAGGUUUAAAUAUUACUAAUUUUUGACAUUGACAACUUUGCAAGCAUGACAAGUUUUUUCAAUAACAACAUACAAGCAUAAAUCCAAAAGCAAAAACAUUUAGUUCGUAACUCAUUAAACUACUGUAUUUUAAAAAACACAAUAUAUAAUAAAAAUUUGCAUGAAUGUUUCAUGAAUAUGUGGAUCAAGAUUAUGUUUGUAUAUUUGAUAUGGGUCUAAAUAUCAACACAGAAUGGGAAAAAUUUGGAAUUAGGAGAGUAAUGUGAGGAACAUGGGGAUACUAAUGUCACUUCAUCAGGAUAUUGGCAGUAUAAUUUCCAUAUAGUACACGGAUUCAUGACACUGGAGGUCCAGGACCAGAGAUUAAUUCAAAAUAAAAUUAAUUAAAACAAUAAUGAAUAUUUAUUUAAAACAAAAGAAUGAUAUAAAAUGAAGUGAUUAACAACAAUAUAUGAUAUGACACAAUGAAGUAAUUAUAUAUACUUGAAUAUAGCCUUACAAUUUAUAAUUUAAGAGAAAGAGUUCAAGUUCUAUCGUGCCCUUCUGCCAUACCUGACAGACAUACAUUAUUUCAUCUUGCAGUAAUCCAUACUUCAUGCAAACACUAAAUGUCCAUUGUCCACAAGCACAUAGUGCACCAUUCCAUAGUUCAUAGGUUCAUUAUACAGUUCCAUACAUUCAUUUUCUUCUGCCAUCAUCAUUGCCUAUCUUGUUGUCUUGGCUGUCAUCUGUCAUCUCUGUUGGCUGCCUCAACAGGACAAGUUACCUUUCCAUCUUUUAGUUUACAUCAUCGUUAUUUUCUUGUUCACUAACAAAUUAUUGAUGCCUCCUUUUAAUCUCUCUUUCUUUCUUCUCUCCUGACUAAUUCUCCUCUUUUCUUCAUGGAACUUGUUAUAUUUAUAGCAUUAAUGAUUUCAACGAACAAGGAACAAUUUUUUUCUCAUGGUUCAUAGUUCCUAGUUCAUCAUGAUUAAUCUUUUAUUAGUUAUUUCCAAAAAGCAGUUAUAUACGGUAGAGUUAUUUGUAUCCACGUAGCCGUCUACACCCUCAUGGGGUAGCCGUUAGCUGAAAGAUAGGAUUAAAAUGAUCAUUUUCUAAUUUGAUAUUUUUAAAUUAACAAUUUUAAACAAUUUCAAGAUAAUCAUUGCAUUAUAUUUUUACAAAACAAGAG